CCUACGGGGGGCAGCAGUGAGGAAUAUUGGUCAAUGGUCGGGAGACUGAACCAGCCAAGCCGCGUGAGGGAUGAAGGUACAGAGUAUCGUAAACCUCUUUUGUCAGGGAACAAAGGCGGGGACGCGUCCCCGGAUGAGUGUACCUUAAGAAAAAGGAUCGGCUAACUCCGUGCCAGCAGCCGCGGUAAUACGGAGGAUGCGAGCGUUAUCCGGAUUUAUUGGGUUUAAAGGGAGCGUAGGUGGGCUGUUAAGUCAGUGGUGAAAGUCCGGGGCUCAACCCC
rnacentral:rRNA from 1 species